AGUCUGCGGGCGCUGUGCAUCCUCUGGCAGACGUUUGCAAACAGUUAAAUAUGAUACAGCAGAAAUGCGUUCACUGCAGCUUUGCCAGGCCUUGUGGGGAUUUCUUUAAUACAGCACCCCAUCCAUUAUUUAUGUAUUCGUGGGAGUGUGGUUUUGUAACCGGUUCAGAUAAGUUAAAACAAAAAAGCCACCGCGGGAAAGGGGGGUGAAGGCGGAGGUGACCCAAGUCUGCGACCAAGGUCUCCAGCAACACCUGCAUGUAGACCUUGGCGAAUAUAUUUGUAAAGCAAAGAGGGAAAGGUCUCGGAAGAGGACCCUAAGGCACCCUAGAGUGAGUCCAAAGCAGGCUUCCUUUGGGUCACUUAACAGAACUCACCCUCGUAGUGAAAUCUGUUUUCAUAUUUUUCAGGCCACAGGCCACAGCACAAUUCUACAGCCCACAGCUGCAGGGAUGACUCCGCCAUUGCUCUUGGGAGGUGCAAGUGGGAUCUGGAGCCUUCCCUCUGGGUUGUAGCCCCCUUCCAUUCCGUUCGUUUGUUUUCAAAUUAUUUAACGGAUUUUCCAUUAGGCCAGUGGUCUUGUUCUUGGCAAAGCAAAAAUUUAACCAAUAUAAAUAAUAAAACGGAAAGUGCAAGAAUAGCCCCUAACCUGCAUUGAGCUAUUAAGAGCUUCUAGCCCAGUUCUUUCCCUAAAGUCGGGCCUGCAUGAUGUGUACACACACAUUCCCCACAUGGAGAGUACAGGCACAUACACCCUAUGUACUUAGAUGUUUAAGCGCUAGAGGGUUGUACUGUUUACCCUGGAGAUGCUAUCCUUCCUUAAUGAUAUCGAUUAGACAUGAACACAGAUUUUGCCCUGUUCACCUGUUGUCUAGGGCUGGGCUGGAGAGGUGUGGGGAUUUGUCAGGGUCAAGGUUGUCUUUUGAUUUACCAGAGAGGAGAGGGGGCAGAGGGUUGGUUCUAUGAGUCUCUACAAUAGCCCCAUUUCUUGAAGAUGCAAAUUUACCAAAGAAAAUCUCAGUUUUCCCAUUCCUGUAGCUAUGUAUAGAAAGUACAUUGAGUGAAAUCCUUCUGCUCCCCGUCUAGGUCUUUAUGCUACUGAGAAAAUACUCUUAGGUGGCACGACAGCAAACCCGAGGUGAACUUCACCUGAGUAGAGAGCAGCUCUGCUGGGGUGGCAUGGAUGAGCAGUAAGUUGAAUGUGGGUGUCUGUGCUUGUGCAAGCGGAGGAGGCCCCAGGAUGAAGAAGAUGACCACCCAUCUACUUAUGGGAUCGUUCAUCAUUCUUUGUGAGCUAUUGCGGAAGCGUCAGGAAACAGAAGUCAGUCAGGUGCGAAAAUUGACUUUCCCUGCAUGACCACACAAUGCAGAUAGUUUCACGGUUGAGAACCACUGUCUUGCCGGAAGCAUGAAACAUACAGACGUUGGCCCCGGGCAGGCUUUUCUUACAUUACAGAUCCAGCCAACAGAGCUGCCGUCCUGCCACCUUGAAGAAGCAAACUGACACACCUCAGAGAGAGUUGGUGGCAGGAAUGGGGCAUGGGUUCUAGAAACUGCGGACUUCCAUCCUACAAUCCCAAGCAAUAAAACGUAUGGAUAAUUCCGGAGCUUGCUGUGGCCCCCUGAGCGUGGUGACCCUCCAGGGGACCAGAACACAGUCUCUGGAUGUUGACAUGUAGGCAUAGAUGCAAUAAGCUAGUAUCCUCUUUAGCCACUGAGUUGUAGCUGACUCCUGGGUGGGAAAAUAGACAUUCCUCUGAACAGGGAGGGUGGCAAGGUCACAUGGUCAGGGGGAUGUAGUGGUUUGUGUGAGGAACGGACCCUAUAGACUCAUACAUGUGAAUACUUAGCUCUCAGUUGGAGCAUUAGGAGGUGUAGCCUUGUUGGAGAUGUGUGUCCCUGGGGCUAGGCCUUGAGGUUUCAAAAACUGGUCCCAGGCCCAGUCCCACUCUACCUCUUCCUUGUGGACAAGAUGUGAUUUCUCAGCUACUGUGCCAUGCCUGUGUGCCUGCUGCCACGAUGACCAUGGACUCACCCUCUGAAACUGUAAGCAAACCCCCAAUUAAAUGUUUUCUUUAAUAA